CACGUAGGGCGCAAGCGUUGUCCGGAAUUAUUGGGCGUAAAGAGCUCGUAGGCGGUCUGUUGCGUCCGCUGUGAAAACUCGGGGCUUAACCCCGAGCCUGCAGUGGAUACGGGCAGACUAGAGGUAGGUAGGGGAGAAUGGAAUUCCCGGUGUAGCGGUGAAAUGCUUAGAUAUGACAUAGAACACCAAUUGCGAAGGCAGCUCACUACCCGAAUAUUGACUCUGAGGCACGAAAGCGUGGGGAUCAAACAGG
rnacentral:rRNA from 1 species